CCUACGGGAGGCAGCAGUGGGGAAUAUUGGACAAUUGGGGGAACCCUGAUCCAGCCAUGCCGCGUGUGUGAAGAAGGCCCUCGGGUUGUAAAGCACUUUCAGUGAGGAAGAACGCCUGGUGGUUAAUACCCAUCAGGAAAGACAUCACUCACAGAAGAAGCACCGGCUAACUCCGUGCCAGCAGCCGCGGUAAUACGGAGGGUGCGAGCGUUAAUCGGAAUUACUGGGCGUAAAGCGCGCGUAGGUGGCUUGAUAAGCCGGUUGUGAAAGCCCCGGGCUCAACCUGGGAACGGCAUCCGGAACUGUCAAGCUAGAGUGCAGGAGAGGAAGGUAGAAUUCCCGGUGUAGCGGUGAAAUGCGUAGAGAUCGGGAGGAAUACCAGUGGCGAAGGCGGCCUUCUGGACUGACACUGACACUGAGGUGCGAAAGCGUGGGUAGCAAACAGGAUUAGAUACCCUGGUAGUC
rnacentral:rRNA from 1 species